rnacentral:rRNA from 1 species
UACAGAGGGUGCAAGCGUUAAUCGGAAUUACUGGGCGUAAAGCGUGCGUAGGUGGUUUAUUAAGUCAGGUGUGAAAUCCCCGGGCUCAACCUGGGAACUGCGCUUGAUACUGGUAAACUAGAGUUUAGUAGAAGGAAGUGGAAUUCCACGUGUAGCGGUGAAAUGCGUAGAUAUGUGGAGGAACACCAGUGGCGAAGGCAGCUUCCUGGACUAAAACUGACACUGAGGCACGAAAGCGUGGGUAGCAAACAGG